rnacentral:rRNA from 1 species
GACGAACGCUGGCGGCGUGCUUAACACAUGCAAGUCGAACGGUAAGGCCCUUCGGGGUACACGAGUGGCGAACGGGUGAGUAACACGUGGGUGAUCUGCCCUGCACUUCGGGAUAAGCCUGGGAAACUGGGUCUAAUACCGGAUAGGACCACUGCCUGCAUGGGUGGUGGUGGAAAGCUUUUGCGGUGUGGGAUGGGCCCGCGGCCUAUCAGCCUGUUGGUGGGGUGAUGGCCUACCAAGGCGACGACGGGUAGCCGGCCUGAGAGGGUGACCGGCCCCACUGGGACUGGGAUACGGCCCAGGCUCCUACGGGAGGCAGCAGUGGGGAAUAUUGCACAAUGGGCGCAAGCCUGAUGCAGCGACGCCGCGUGAGGGAUGACGGCCUUCGGGUUGUAAACCUCUUUCAGCACCGACGAAGCGCAAGUGACGGUAGGUGCAGAAGAAGGACCGGCCAACUACGUGCCAGCAGCCGCCGUAA